CCUACGGGUGGCAGCAGUGAGGAAUAUUGGUCAAUGGACGCGAGCCUGAACCAGCCAUGCCGCGUGAAGGAAGACUGCCCUACGGGUUGUAAACUUCUUUUAUAAGGGGAUAAAGUGAGGCACGCGUACCUUUCUGAAAGUACUUUACGAAUAAGGAUCGGCUAACUCCGUGCCAGCAGCCGCGGUAAUACGGAGGAUCCGAGCGUUAUCCGGAUUUAUUGGGUUUAAAGGGUGCGUAGGUGGGUGGAUAAGUCAGUUGUGAAAGCUUGAGGCUCAACCGUAGAAUUGCAAUUGAUACUGGCAGGCUAGAGAGUAGUUGAGGUAGGCGGAA
rnacentral:rRNA from 1 species